rnacentral:rRNA from 1 species
GACGAACGCUGGCGGCGUGCCUAACACGUGCAAGUCGAACGGAGAUUGAUGAUGAAGCUCGCGAUUCAUUGGUCUUAGUGGCGAACGGGUGAGUAACGCGUGGGUAACCUGCCCUUGAGACCGGGACAACAGCUGGAAACGGCUGCUAAUACCGGAUGAUUUUCCUUGGAGGCAUCUUCGAGGAAGUAAAGCUGGCCUCUGCAAAUGCUAGCGCCUAAGGAUGGACCCGCGUCUGAUUAGCUAGUUGGGGGGGUAACGGCCUACCAAGGCGACGAUCAGUAGCCGGCCUGAGAGGGUAAACGGCCACACUGGGACUGAGACACGGCCCAGACUCCUACGGGAGGCAGCAGUGGGGAAUCUUCCGCAUUGGACGAAAGUCUGACGGAGCAACGCCGCGUGUAUGAAGAAGGCCUUCGGGUUGUAAAAUACUGUUGUUAGGGAAGAACUUUAGGUAUGUAAAUAAUGUACUUAAUUGACGGUACCUAACGAGGAAGCCCCGGCUAACUACGUGCCAGCAGCCGCCGUAACAC